rnacentral:rRNA from 1 species
UACGUAGGGUGCAAGCGUUAAUCGGAAUUACUGGGCGUAAAGCGUGCGCAGGCGGUUUUGUAAGUCUGUCGUGAAAUCCCCCGGGCUCAACCUGGGAAUUGCGAUGGAGACUGCAAGGCUAGAAUCUGGCAGAGGGGGGGUAGAAUUCCACGUGUAGCAGUGAAAUGCGUAGAGAUGUGGAGGAACACCGAUGGCGAAGGCAGCCCCCCUGGGUCAAGAUUGACGCUCAUGCA